rnacentral:lncRNA from 1 species
GAUUCGUUUCCGCUGAGCCACAGCAGGAGCUUCAAGGGAAGACCCUUUUUCUGAAUAGGUCUCAUUCACAGGUUCCAGGGGUGAGGAUAAGAAUGCUCUUUUGGGGGGCUACCAUGCAGCCCACUGCGGGUUGGUGCUAUAGACACGAGGGACCUGCCUACUGCAAAAACAAAACCAAACCAGAUUCUGGAAUCUGAGAAGCGGAAGUCGCCCGAGGCCUCCUCUUAUCGCUUGGAGCCGAGUCAGAGGAGGGGACGACCGCCCGGACUACUGUCUGUCUGCAGUCAGGCCGCCGGGUCCGCUCUGGGCGAGGCCGACUGCCCAGUGGCUCUGCGGGACCAGCACCAGAUCAGCCACCAAAGGUUGGACGCCCCUGACGCCCUCGGUUCUUAGAAAGGAGAUCCCGCGCCCCUGGCCCGCUGCCUCCCAUCUCCCCACGACACCUCCAUGCCUCGCAGGCUCCAUGACUCUCCAUGACUCACGCGGGCUUCAGGAGCUUCCAAACCAACCAGAUUUACAGGUCUUGGGUUGCCCCAAAGGCUAUGAGCUUGCUGGGCUGGGUUAGGGGUGGGGAAGGCUGCACCCCCACUGCUUGGGCUAAGACCAGGACUGUGCUUUUUAAUUAUUAUUAAAAAUAAUAUUUUCAGAAGUUCCUGUCGUGGCUCAGAAGUAACAAACCUGACUAGUAUCCAUGACGAUGCGGGUUCAAUUCCUGGCCUCGCUCAGUGGGUUAACAAUCCAGCAUUGCCGUGAGCUGUGGUGUAGGUCGCAGACAGGUUCAGAUCCCGUGUGGCUGUGACUGUGGUGUUAGCUGGCAGCUGCAGCUCCGAUUCGACCCCUAGCCUGGGAACUUCCAUAUGCUGCGGGUGUGGCCAUAAAAUAAUAAUAAUAAUUUUCAGAGUUCCCUGGUGACUCAGUGGGUCUGGCAGUGGAUCUGGCAUUGUCACUGCUGUGGCUCGGGUUGCUGCUGUGGCGCAGGUUCGAUCCCCAGCCCAGGAACUUCGGCAUACUGUGGACACAGCCAAGCCCUACCCCUCGGAGCCCGUGCAUGUCCCAUUGUCCACCCAGCCCCUAGCUUAGGACCCAGUCCCUAUAGACUCUUAGGAAACCACAGAAGUGCUUUCAAAUCAAAAAGAAACCCAGAGGAAUAAAUGAACUUUUAGGGCUGAGUAUUAGACGCAUCUUUAUUCUAACACAGUCAUAGACUAUAGUUUUCUUUUCUUUUUCUUUGUCUUUUAGGGCCAUACUUGCAGCAUAUAGAGGUUCCCAGACUAGGGGGCGAAUCUGAGCUACCGCUGCCGCCUACACCACAGCCACAGCCACGCCAGAUCCAAACCACGUCUAUGACCUACACCACAGCUCAUGGCAAUGCCGGAUCCUUAACCCACUGAGCGAGGCCAGGGAUCGAACCUUCAACCUCAUCGUUCCUAGUUGGACUAGUUUCUGCUGUGCCAGGACGGGAACUCCUAGACUAUAAUUUUCAAUGUCUCUACGGAGGAAGGAGACCAGGGAGGCCCAGAGCCAUGGUCCCUCCACGGCCCUGACCCGAGGAGCAGGCCUGCCGGAGGGAGAGUCUCAAAGGCACUAGUUAGUGCAAAGAUGGGGGUGGGGGGGCAAAGGAGCAAACAGAAAGGAAAGAAAGGAAGUAGGGA